GAUGAACGCUGGCGGCGUGCCUAAUACAUGCAAGUCGAGCGAACAGACGAGGAGCUUGCUCCUCUGAUGUUAGCGGCGGACGGGUGAGUAACACGUGGAUAACCUACCUAUAAGACUGGGAUAACUUCGGGAAACCGGAGCUAAUACCGGAUAACAUGUUGAACCGCAUGGUUCAACAGUGAAAGACGGUCUUGCUGUCACUUAUAGAUGGAUCCGCGCCGCAUUAGCUAGUUGGUAAGGUAACGGCUUACCAAGGCAACGAUGCGUAGCCGACCUGAGAGGGGGACAGCCCCACUGGGAAGUGAGAAAGGGCCAGAAACCCUAGGGGGGGCAGAGGUAGGGAAUCUUCCGAAAUGGGGGAAAGCCUAAGGGAGCAACGCGGGGGGAGGAAAGAAGGGCUUGGGAUGGAAAAACUCUUUUAUGGGGAAAAAAAAAAUGGGGAAGUAAAUAGGCACGUUUUAAGGGAAACUAAUAAGAAAACCAGGGCAAAUUAGGG
rnacentral:rRNA from 1 species